rnacentral:rRNA from 1 species
UACGGGAGGCAGCAGUGGGGAAUAUUGCACAAUGGGCGAAAGCCUGAUGCAGCUAUGCCGCGUGUAUGAAGAAGGCCUUAGGGUUGUAAAGUACUUUCAUCGGGGAGGAAAAAACAAACUAAUAAUUUUAUUUCUUGACGUUACCCGAAAAAGAAGCACCGGCUAACUCCGUGCCAGCAGCCGCGGUAAUACGGAGGGUGCUAGCGUUAAUCAGAAUUACUGGGCGUAAAGAGCACGUAGGUGGUUUUUUUAAGUUCAGAUGUGAAAUCCCUGGGCUUAACCUAGGAACUGCAUUUUGAAACUGAAAUACUAGAGUAUCGUAGAGGGAGGUAGAAUUCUAGGUGUAGCGGUGAAAUGCGUAGAUAUCUGGAGGAAUACCUGUGGCGAAAGCGGCCUCCUAAACGAAUACUGACACUGAGGUGCGAAAGCGUGGGGAGCAAACAGGGAUUAGGAUACC